GGCGGUGUGCCCGAGUGGCCAAUGGGAACGGACUGUAAAUCCGUCGGCUAUGCCUACCCAGGUUCGAAUCCUGGCGCCGCCA
rnacentral:tRNA from 9 species